UUAAUACAACAGUAUUUAUUGAGCUCCUACUAUAUAUGCCGGGGCUUCCCUGGAUAUGAAGAUGCAAAGAUAUGGAGGAUGAUGUUGCCUUCUUUCAAGGGGGAAGUCAACACUUACUGAGUGAAACUCUGAGUGGGACAGAUUCGGAAAUAAACAGAAUGUUGUGGGAUACAAAAACUAGAACACAGAAAGAUUUCUAGAGAGGAUGAUUCUCGGACUCUGUGUUUAAAGAUGAUUAGGAGGUUAUCAGAUGAACCUGGAGAAGGGCAGCCCCAGCAGAGGGACCAGCAAGCACAGAGAAUCAGAGGUGUGGAAUAACACAGAUUUGGGACCUAAGAAGUUGUGUGCAUUGAAUGAAGGCCAAAAGGUUGGAUCCUGUUUGGAAGGUCAGGGACAAUGACAAUGGAGAAGCAAAGAGAAAACUGGAGAAGAGUGGAGGAAUGCUGGAACAUGGAAAGACUCACUCACCUUCAAGAAAAGGACACACAUUGGUGUGAUGAGUUCAUGUAAUCAGUUAUGGCCCAGGACUUAGAGUUUAUUCUUAGAACACGUACGCUUGGGAUUUCUUCAUGAUGGCGUGAAUCUGUUAUUUAACUAUUAUGAGAACUUACCUUCCCAAAUCUUCUUCUAUGCUAAUGGGAAAAGAGAGCCCAUUGUCAGCAGCGUCUGCUUAGGAAUAUCUUUUGUCUUGGAGCUUGUUGUAAUCACUUCCAGACCGGUGGUAUAUUUAUGAUUUACAUAAUGUUACAAAGGAAGAAGUCUUAAGGAUUUUUCUUUCUCUAAAUCUUUGUGAAUUAUUAUUUUAGACUCAUUGCCAGAUUUUUGUUAAAGGGGAAGUUGAUGAACUUUUAAACAUGUCAUUACAUGCCCCGAAAUAGCAACUCUUUGUUCUUGCAAAGAUUUUUGUGGGAAUUUAAAGGACUGUGUGUGUAUGUGUGUAUGUGUGUGCAUAUGUGUGUGUGCAUGUGUUUAGAAACAGGUAGAAAAGGAAAUGAGCAAAAAAGAACACUUGAGGUUCACUGAUAAAGUUAAAUACAUAUUUUGUUUUUCUGUUAGAACAAAAGUUGGCAGAUUUGGGGGAAUCUACCUAACAUUUGGUGUGGGUUUAGGAAGCGUGGCUCUACACUCAUUUCCAAUCAUGUUUCAAUAAUUAGGGGUAGCAACAGAAGGGUUAAGCCCUAAAGCAAGGAAAUAUCUCUAAGUCAGAAAACAAAAGGAAACUUGCAUAUUUCUGAAGAUGACAUCGGAUCGGCCUGUGAAUUUCAAGCAAUUACGCGAUAUUAUGAUUCCCACUGAGUACGCAUUAGUUGGAAUACUGAUCUUUUUAUUUCUCCAUGUCCCGGGGUUGUACACUGAAAGAGCCCUGUUCAACUUUGCAUGUCAGAAUUUUGAAGGAAAAAUUAUAGUAAAAUAUGUUUAAAACA